rnacentral:rRNA from 3 species
UGGAGUAACCAUUUGGAGCUAGCCGUCGAAGGUGGGACAAAUGAUUGGGGUGAAGUCGUAACAAGGUAGCCGUAUCGGAAGGUGCGGCUGGAUCACCUCCUUUCUAAGGA